GAUGAUGCUAACAAUCGAGGCAUUUGUAUUAUUUUCAAAUGAAUUAGGCAUCCGUGCACUAAGCUACCUAUCAUAAGCACGGGACUGAU